rnacentral:rRNA from 1 species
GUCCAUGGCCAUACCACCCUGAACACGCCCAAUCUUGUCUGAUCUCGGAAGCUAAGCAGAGCUGGGCCUGAUUAGUACUUGGAUGGGAGAAUUGUAGAAAAUUAAUGGACACAAGAACU